rnacentral:rRNA from 1 species
GACGAACGCUGGCGGCGUGCUUAACACAUGCAAGUCGAACGGAAAGGCCCUGCUUUUGUGGGGUGCUCGAGUGGCGAACGGGUGAGUAACACGUGAGUAACCUGCCCUUGACUUUGGGAUAACUUCAGGAAACUGGGGCUAAUACCGGGUAGGAGCUCCUGCUGCAUGGUGGGGGUUGGAAAGUUUCGGCGGUUGGGGAUGGACUCGCGGCUUAUCAGCUUGUUGGUGGGGUAGUGGCUUACCAAGGCUUUGACGGGUAGCCGGCCUGAGAGGGUGACCGGCCACAUUGGGGCUGAGAUACGGCCCAGACUCCUACGGGAGGCAGCAGUGGGGAAUAUUGCACAAUGGGCGGAAGCCUGAUGCAGCAACGCCGCGUGCGGGAUGACGGCCUUCGGGUUGUAAACCGCUUUCGCCUGUGACGAAGCGUGAGUGACGGUAAUGGGUAAAGAAGCACCGGCUAACUACGUG